rnacentral:rRNA from 1 species
CCUACGGGUGGCAGCAGUGGGGAAUAUUGGACAAUGAGGGGAACCCUGAUCCAGCGACGCCGCGUGAGUGAAGAAGUAUUUCGGUAUGUAAAGUGCUAUCAGCAGGGAAGAAAGUAUUCACGGUACCUGACUAAGAAGCCGCGGCUAACUACGGGCCAGCAGCCGCGUGAAUACGUAGGGGGCAAGCGUUAUCCGGAUAUACUGGGGGUAAAGGGCGCGUAGACGGCGAUGAAAGUCUGAAGUGAAUGUUCGGGGGCUAACCUCCGGAAAGCUUUGGAGACUGUAGGACUGGAGUGAGAGAGAGGUAAGUGGAAUUCCUUGUGAAGCGGUGAAAUGCGUAGAUAUUAGGAGGAACACCAGUGGCGAAGGCGGCUUACUGGGCUGAUACUGACGUUGAGGGUCGAAAGCGUGGGGAGCAAACAGGAUUAGAUACCCGAGUAGUC